CUGCUGCCUCCCGUAGGAGUUUGGACCGUGUCUCAGUUCCAAUGUGGGGGACCUUCCUCUCAGAACCCCUACGCAUCGCCGGCUUGGUGGGCCGUUGCCCCACCAACUACCUAAUGCGCCGCAUGCCCAUCCGUGACCGGGGUCGCCCCCUUUGGCCGGCAGGGGAUGUCCCCUCCCGGCAUUAUGUUGUAUUAGGCGGGAUUUCUCCCGGUUAUCCAUCUGUCACGGCCAGGUUGCAUACGUGUUACUCACCCGUGCGCCGGUCGCCGGCGG
rnacentral:rRNA from 1 species